UAGUCCACGCCGUAAACGAUGUUCACUCGCUGUUUGGGAUACACACUAAGCGGCCAAGCGAAAGCAUUAAGUGAACCACCUGGGGAGUACGUUGGCAACAAUGAAACUCAAAGGAAUUGACGGGGACCCGCACAAGCGGUGGAACAUGUGGUUUAAUUCGAUGAUACGCGAGGAACCUUACCUGGACUUAAAUGUAGGUUGCAUAGAGUGGAGACAUUCUUUUCUUCGGACUACUUACAAGGUGCAGCAUGGUUGUCGUCAGCUCGUGCCGUGAGGUGUCGGGUUAAGUCCCAUAACGAGCGCAACCCCUAUCCUUAGUUGCCAGCGGGUCAUGCCGGGGACUCUGAGGAGACUGCCACCGUAAGGUGUGAGGAAGGUGGGGAUGACGUCAAAUCAGCACGGCCCUUAUGUCCAGGGCUACACACGUGUUACAAUGGACGGUACAAAGGGCAGCUACCUGGCGACAGGAUGCUAAUCUCUAAAGCCGUUCUCAGUUCGGAUCGAAGUCUGCAACCGACUUCG
rnacentral:rRNA from 1 species